rnacentral:rRNA from 1 species
GUGAGGAAUAUUGGUCAAUGGGCGAGAGCCUGAACCAGCCAAGUCGCGUGAAGGAAGAAGGAUCUAUGGUUCGUAAACUUCUUUUGCAGGGGAAUAAAGUGCAGGACGUGUCCUGUUUUGUAUGUACCCUGAGAAUAAGGAUCGGCUAACUCCGUGCCAGCAGCCGCGGUAAUACGGAGGAUCCGAGCGUUAUCCGGAUUUAUUGGGUUUAAAGGGUGCGUAGGUGGUUUGAUAAGUCAGCGGUGAAAGUUUGCAGCUUAACUGUAAAAAUGCCGUUGAAACUGUCGGACUUGAGUGUAAAUGAGGUAGGCAGAAUGCGUGGUGUAGCGGUGAAAUGCAUAGAUAUCACGCAGAACUCCGAUUGCGAAGGCAGCUUACUAAGCUACAACUGACACUGAAGCACGAAAGCGUGGGGAUCAAACAGGAUUAGAUACCCUUGUAGUCC